CAGUAAUACUUAAUGAGAGAACGAUUUGUAAGUGGUGUAAGUAACUUCUAGUUAUAACUGAUACGCUGAUAAGGUUGGAAUCAGAAGUAGUGAUUGUUACUGAAGAUGCCAAGAUGAUAUGUAUGGUAAAAAGGUAAUUAAGUAAAUCUUAUUUUUGUUUGGAAGUCUUAAGGAGUCAUAAGCAAUCUACUGCUCAUACUCCUCAAAACAAACAAAACCUAACUGUAGGGGAACUGGUAUGUCACUGCCUGAUGAUUGAGCACCUGGUGAAGGGAGUGGCUGGCCCAGGAGCAAACAAUUUACCUGUGCUUCCCACAUGAUUGGAAGGGGUGGACCCAGGGUCCCUGGCCUCAUUUAAAGGCUAUAGCCUCUGAAGGGGUAGUAUUUUGUGGAUGAAGGCUGCUUCUUGUGAAGGAGCAUUCUACUGUCAGAGACUCUCAUCACCAGCUGGGUGAGUCAACUUUCUCUUGUUUAUAAUUAUUGAUAUUCCUAAUUAUACUUCCCAUGGUAUCACAGAGAACUUGUCAGAAGCAGUUUCACUACUUCCUCUGACCAACACAAACCAAAAAUGUAAAAACAUCAAACAAAAAGACCCUUAUAAGGCCCUUAUUCUAAAGUAGCCCCUGAGGGUUAUAAGUUUGAAGAAGCAAAUGGUUUGGAUGUGAAUGCAACUGCCAGUAUCUUAUGAAAGCCUUCUGAAAAUGGUGUGUUGUUCUGCUAGAAUGUAUUCAUUGGAAGAGAAUACUUAUUGAAGAACAAGUGGAGAAAUUUUCACUAAUUCUGCUUUGGUCUAGAUCCAUGUUCCACUGGGAAGAGCAGGUGUUGGUAACUACAUAUGUUUUCAAGAAAUAUAUGCAAGAGCCAAGGAACAGCAAAGCAGAACUGUGGUGUUAAAGCACAUUUGAACCUGGUUUGGCUGCUCCUCCAUCUGUCCAGGCGCAGCACACAUGUUUCAGGAAAAGGAGCUGCAAACAAAAAUGUGAGAACUGUUGGCACCUUGUGCCAGAGUAUUUACAGAGGAAAAUGUGGUUAAUGGCAUGCAACAGGAGAAUAUGCGAUAAUUAAUUUCACACUAUUGGAUAUAAAGAUAACUUGUGUAAUGAAUGCAGGUCAAGACUGUCAAAAAUCAGUGUCAG
ensembl:lncRNA